rnacentral:rRNA from 1 species
AUGUCGGUGCGCAUGAAGGCGGUGGUGUACGCGAUGUCACCGUUCCAGCAGCAGGUGAUGCCGGGCCUAUGGAAGGACAUCACCACCAAGAUCCACCACAAGGUGUCCGAGAACUGGAUCUCCGCCACACUCCUCAUCAUCCCCAUCGUCGGCACCUACCACUAUGUGUGGUUUGCGGGAAAUGGAGAUUGA